AAGUCGUAACAAGGUUUCCGUAGGUGAACCUGCGGAAGGAUCAUUAUAGAGAUUGGUUGGGUAACACCUUCCAAACCUCCCACCCUAUGUUUACAUUACCUUUGUUGCUUUGGUAGGCCCGUCGUUGGACCGCCGGCUUCGGCUGGCCAGUGCCUACCAGAGGAUCCAAAACUCUGUUUAAUUGUAUUGUCUGAGUACUAUAUAAUAGUUAAAA
rnacentral:misc_RNA from 1 species